rnacentral:rRNA from 1 species
UACAGAGGGCGCGAGCGUUGUCCGGAAUCAUUGGGCGUAAAGAGCGCGUAGGCGGCCAGAUAAGUCCGGUGUGAAAGUCACAGGCUCAACCUGUGAAUGCCGCUGGAAACUGUCUGGCUAGAGUCCGGGAGGGGCGAGUGGAAUUCCUGGUGUAGCGGUGAAAUGCGCAGAUAUCAGGAGGAACACCAAUGGCGAAGGCAGCUCGCUGGAACGGUACUGACGCUGAGGCGCGAAAGCGUGGGGAGCGAACAGG